rnacentral:ribozyme from 1 species
CAGCCAGCCAGCCAGCCAGCCAGCCAGCCAAUCGACUAGUCAACGAACCGUAUUUACGUGCGGGCGUGCGU